UCCAUUUUGCUGCGUGUGGCAAUGAGCACAUUCAGGGCCUAAUCCAAACUCCUUUAAUUUUAGUGGGUUUGGAGUUGAGACUUUAAAAAGUGUUCAGAAAAAAGCAUAAGAUGGAGACCAGGAGUUGAUCGCUGCUUAUGAAUGCAAUCAUUUAAAACACUCAUUCACCUUUAUGAAUUCCAUUUCACCUGGGGGACUCUUUGGAUAUUUUAAUCAAGAUCCUGAGUUCUUUUUGCACAGAGGCUUCUUUGGUUUUGUCUGUAUGUCAUCCUUAGUUUUAAAAAGCUGAUGGAAUAAAUUACCACUAUUGACAUAAGAAAAAGUUCUUAAGUACUGGAAUCAGUGCCAAUAGUUAAUAGUGGAUUCUUUCCUGGAUGAAGAGCUCUAUUAGAGAAACUUUUGCAGUAACAAAGUAAUCCAAGUACUGAAAGACCACUGUGGUGAGCUGGGAUUCAUGGACAAUUGGAGAAACAAUUUGUGAAGAAAAGUAGUAGAAGGACAGUGAGUCUCCUCUGGACAGUAACAUCACGGCAUUUGCAUUAAAGGCAAAAGUGAUCUAUCCCAUCAAUCAGAAAUUUAGGCCUUUGGCAGAUGGCUCAUCC